rnacentral:misc_RNA from 1 species
AUUUUGUUCUUGUGAGAAUAAUAUGGUUGGGUGACAAUCACCUGGGCACCCGUGUGACAAUAUAGUGCCCUUUUUCUAGAUCAUAUACUGUUUUCAACUGUGGUUUUCGCCAUUGUAGUAGGAAAAAUACAGCAAGCAAAACUAUUAGAAGAAAAGCAAACAAUGAGAAGUAUGUCACUGACUCGUUUCCAACAAUUUGGUCAAGGUUAUCAAUUUCCAUGUCAAGGGGCUCCAGCAUGGAUUGCAGGAUAAAAGCUCCAAGACUCCAGUCAAGAUGAAAGCUUCCAGUAUAAUUUGCAAAACCAAUUCUUUUAUCAUUCAUUGGAAUUCCAAGGCUGUCAUGCAACAGUGCUACCAUGUAUGCAGAAGAAAAACAAUAUCUCAACAAAUCCAUAUCAUCAAUGCCAUGAUGUUGACUUCUCAGUUCAUCCCAAUCAUUUUCACAGUAAUGUUGCCCAACUGCCUCCAAUUCAAACAAAGUAGUCCUAGGAGCCAGGCCAAAGAACUCAGAAGUAUAGAACAAGGUUUCUUGAGAAACAUGCUUGCCUUGUAGCUCCGAGAACAAAGAUGGCACAAUUUUACAUGGCGAAUGUAAGCAUUUUGCUUGUCUACUCUUCAACAAUGCCAAAGCUUCAAGUCUGCAGGCAGUAAAGUUUCCAGCUGGAUGCGAUAAGAGAAGUUUGGCAUCACUUGCAUUGGAUGCCAGCUCAUAUCCUUUGGGAAUGCAAGGGUUGCCAAACGAUCCCUCCUUAUCAUUAGGCAGGGAGAUCAACUCUCUAGAAUGGUGUAGCUCAUGUAGAGACUCCCAUGCUGCAUCCUGGCCAAAUUUUGGAAAGCUUUGUGUCUGAAUAUUGUAAGCAACUCCAGCCCAUUUGAUCAUCCGUAGAGAUUUCCCUUUUGCUACUUCUCUUGAAGCAAAUGCAGCCUGCAAAGAAGUUCCACCAAGUUCAACUACCCCAGUGGUUUUCUGAGGAUCACUUCCCAGUGUUCCAAGAGCAUAGUUUACAGCAACCCAAGCAAAGACACCCUUUUCGCCAUCUUCAAUAAACCGUGCCCACUCUCCCUUAAACGUGAACCCAGACUCUCUCAAAACACGUCUACAAGACUCCAAUAUCAUCUCUCUCACCUUCAACUCCAACCCCUCGACUUCCUCACCACCGGCCAUUAACUGCACCUUAGUAUUCGCCCACUCUUUCUUGGGUACAAACCCCUUGGCAAACUCGACCAACCCAUCAACCAAACCACCUGCAUUAUCCGGGUUCUCUGAAAAUCCAGCCAAUCGAGACCGAACCUUCAUGGACCCAGCAAUCAGCGGCAUUUGACCAUUGGUAAAAGGCAUGCUUCCCUCCACCAAGAGCUCGUAGACGCGGACGCGAGACCCAGAAGGACCCGAAUCGAUAACAACAGAGAAGAAUUGGGAUUUGGGUUCGGCAAAUUUCGACGAAUGGUGGAUCUUCUGAGCGGUAGAAAAGAGGUAAAAGAGGAAAGCAACUGUGAGAAGGGAGAUGAAGAGGAUAAGAAACUUGUGGGUUUGUGAUUUGUUGUUGGGAUUUUGAGGAGGUUGGUAUGGAGAAGAGAAGGAGUCCAAGUGCAUGCGAGGAUGCAACUGUGUACGGUGAGGUGGGAAGUAGGCGGUAGAAGCUCUGGACUGAAGAGUUGAGAAAUCCAUGGAGUUUGGAUUUUGGACAUAGGGCAGAGAAAGAUUCGUCGGUUACUUACAUUUGGAUGAUCUGAGGUUAUUGUUUAUAGGUUCGUGUUAGAUCAAUCGAUGAUGAGUAUAAAAGAAAACAAAGGUUCAACUAAGAAUAUGAGCAUCUACCAGAUUCAAAAAAAAUUUUCCCAUCAGUUGAAGGAGCACAAGCACCUCUCCUUCUUUCUCCUCCUCCCCUAU